AGCAGCCUAGGCUGUGGCCUGGAGAGGGAACUGGAAGAGCUCUGUGAGGGACUCAUCCAUGGGGAGGACCUGUUCACCCUGGAUGAAGCCCUGAGAUGGCGGGCUGUGAAGUCACCAGUGGUCCCAGAAGAUGCAAGGUGACCACGCCCGCCCCUGGGCAAGAGGCACAAGGGAGAGACGCUCUGGACAGAAGUUUUGUUUACAACCCGCUGUAGGAGCGAAGCCACAGCACUGCGCUUGUGGGUACAGAACCCAGGCUGCCGGUCCCUUUGGGCCCUGCUGAGUUCAGUCUGGUUCAUCCCAGCACCGUAGGGACAGCCCUACAUUCCUGAGGUUCUGGGCCUGCCCCUCCUUUGCUGGUUAGAAAGUCCAGUUCAACAGGUAAGGGUAAUAAUGAAGGAUUCCCUACAACACCGGCUCCCCCAGAAACAAAUCACCAGUGGUUAGUUUUCUUGAAUUAGGCAGUGGCCUUGCUGAUGCUGCCGGUUACAAGAGGACAGGACUCUCAAUGGCGCCAGGUAAGUCACACGGGCUGAUCUCUUUUCUCAUCCACACACUCGUUCCUUUCU